rnacentral:rRNA from 1 species
AGGGAAUCUUCCACAAUGGACGAAAGUCUGAUGGAGCAACGCCGCGUGAGUGAUGAAGGGUUUCGGCUCGUAAAACUCUGUUGUUGGAGAAGAACGGGUGUCAGAGUAACUGUUGACAUCGUGACGGUAUCCAACCAGAAAGCCACGGCUAACUACGUGCCAGCAGCCGCGGUAAUACGUAGGUGGCAAGCGUUGUCCGGAUUUAUUGGGCGUAAAGCGAGCGCAGGCGGUUUUUUAGGUCUGAUGUGAAAGCCUUCGGCUUAACCGGAGAAGUGCAUCGGAAACCGGGAGACUUGAGUGCAGAAGAGGACAGUGGAACUCCAUGUGUAGCGGUGAAAUGCGUAGAUAUAUGGAAGAACACCAGUGGCGAAGGCGGCUGUCUGGUCUGCAACUGACGCUGAGGCUCGAAAGCAUGGGUAGCGAACAGGAUUAGAUACCCUGGUAGUCCAUGCCGUAAACGAUGAGUGCUAAGUGUUGGAGGGUUUCCGCCCUUCAGUGCUGCAGCUAACGCAUUAAGCACUCCGCCUGGGGAGUACGACCGCAAGGUUGAAAC